CUGUCAUUACGACACCGCAGCUUGACCCAACCAUUGAACUGCCUAAUGCAACAAGAUGAUUGCAAUCAGCAGCCGUGGAAAUUAUUAGCACCAUUCUUUCCAUUUUUAAUGUAGUUUGAGAGACUUAAAUCAAAUCUGAUGAGGGACAAAGUAGCCAGGGAUGAAUCCGUGCAGGAAGCAGUAAGCAUGUUACCUGUGCUGCAGUUAUGCCUCAUGUCAGUGCCCCUAAGAGUCUGUUACCAGAGAAGCUUCAACAACUUUUUAGAGGGUCCAAAAAGGAUGCUACGUUCUUGGUUUUCAGUGGAUUUCUGCAUAAAGUUCCCCCUGAAGACAGAUUUAGUGGCAGUGGCGUCAGCAGCCAAAAUGAUGGAUGGGCUUUACAGCUCAAACAGCCUUCCGGAGAGCUGCUUGAAGUGUCUA